rnacentral:lncRNA from 1 species
CCGCUGCCUUGGAAACGCAGAGCGCGCGCUCCAGGUAAAGGCUGCUACGCCCAGGACAGGGUUCUCACGGUGGAGGAAAGGACUUCUGCGGGAUACCACGCUGUGCGCCAAAAAGCCGGGCGGCUUCGGAGCCAGAGCAGCGGCUCUGCGGCGCAGGCGGCGGGUCGGGGCAGCCUUGAAGCCGGGAUCCGGCCCGAAGGGGUCUUUUUGGAGUUCCUGAGCUCAGUGCCCCAGAAGGCACAUACUUCAUAUGAAAUAUGAAGGAUUUCAUACUGCACAAGAAAAAGCCUUGAGAAAGACAGAAUUGCUUGUGGACCGUGCGUGUUCCACCCCACCUGGGCCCCAGACCGUGCUGAUCCUUGAUGAGCUCUCGGAUUCCUUGUGCAGAGUGACCGACUUGUUUCGAAAUGACCAGGCUGGCAGUUGGCUGAGCCAGUCUCUUAGAACCCUUUGAAGCACUGGAUGCAGGCUGAUGAGCUGCCAUAAACGUCUUUGAGUCCCAACACUGCUCAGGAACUGCAUAUCAUACCAAAGUCUGCCUGUGUGAUCCUUUAAUUUGUGAAUGUAAAAACUGAGGUGGGAGGCAAAUACUGAUGUUCUCAAAGACCCGUCUCAGCUAUUCCAUUCAAACAGAGCCCAGAAUCUUCAAAAUUCUGCUUCUUCAGCUUACCUCCUGUCUCAGGCUGGUUCCCCAGAAGCAUCCCAGAGAUGCAGAUUUGUGAGAAAGUGAUGUGUUGGGCAGUGUCCCCUGCAGGGAAGUGAGGAUGCAAGACAGUGAGAAGGAAGCCAAGCAAGAGUGCAAUGUCAAGCAAGGUCCCGUGCUUGCAGGGCACUGGCUCCUCCCACAGAGGAGAUUUGGAGACUGAGAGCCCCUCCCUCCAUUGGUCAAGGGCCAUCUCAGAGGGAUGCAUGUUUCUAGGUAUCCCCCACUCUCUCUGCACACAGGUAAAGGAGACUCCAGAAGCAUGAGGGCAGCCCUCUCACAAAGAAGCAUGGGUUCUGGAUACCGAGAGUAAAAGCAAACGUGGAGCCAAGGGGUGUGAAAAUGGGAAAGGGACCCAAGGAAAUAGAGUAGUGCAUCCACCAUGAGUAAGUGCCACAGUCACUGGGUCAGCACCUGCUGUGUCCAACACCAUGCUAAGUAUCGUGGAGAGGAGAGAAGUUACUAGACUUCCCUGCUGUCAUCCUUAAUGGACUAUUGUCUCUUCCCUAGACACCUCAAACUGGGAUUUAAGGUACAUAAGCUCUCAGAAAUGGCUUCCUGGAAUUAUGGCCAUGAACAUCAGUGAACUGUUAGGGUCCGUAGUUACAUCUGGAAAAUGACUGCCGUUUCAAUACACAGGAUUAGUUACAAUAACAGCAACAGCCAUAAUAAUAAUGUGGCAGAGACUAGCUUGAUGCUCAUCACAUCUCUACCUGGGCACAUAGCAAAGUUUUCUAUUCCAGCUCCCACCCUGGAUCUCGGGUCCUAGUUCUCAACAACGAAAUGCUUCCAAGCCAAGUUAAAGCAGCCACAACUUUCAAACGAAAACCUAAAGAUCCUGUGUUGAAGACAGUGGCACCUUAAAAUGCAAGGGCAGUAUCCUUGAGUCCUCAGGUCACCAGAAAGCCACCCGAUCAGGACCAUCGACACUAGACUCUGUGUUAGUGAGAAACAAACUUGUGUUAAGCCAUCAUGAUUUUAAAGUUGUUAGCAGUCAGCUUGCUCCAAUAGGAUGAACACUAAUAAACAUAGCGGUAACAACCUGCUGGGUAGUAUCAUUAUUCUCACUUUGUUGGUGAGGAACUUGAGGCCCAAAAUGGUCAGAAAGUUAGCAGAUGGCAGAGCUGGUAUUUCAAGUCUAUUUUUUAAUCCCUAUCUUGCACUCCUUGGUCACGUAAACCUUGUGUGAAUAUGUUUGAUGCUUUAAUGGAGCAAAGAGGAGAAUAUUAAAAUACCAGGUUUCUUGGGUGGGAUGUGGAGUGAGGAGGAAGAACACAAAACGGAAAGGCUCCACGCAUCAGAAGCCAAGCUUUGGGCACUCCACAGUUUUGCUAAAGACUUCCCUGUCUGCUCACAUCUGGUCUGUUCCCCAGUAUCCUCACUGUAUUAAAGUUGUUUCUUUGUCAUAUUUUGCUCUUUUUUCUGGUGUGAUUCUAUCAAUUACUUGCUACCAAG